AGGAGCAGAGCCAGCAAUACUCACGUUUUCUCAGAGCAGCAGAUAAUUCAGCAAUGCUACUGAUGAGUGAUGAUGAAGAGGAACUAAGAGACAAUAAUGGCACGUGGCCAGCAAGUCUAUUUAGUUCUCUGUUUUGGGUGGAUGAGGACUCGCAGCUUCUUGAAGAAUAUGAACAACAAAGGAGAAACGUUACACUAAGAAGCCAGCGACAGUCAGACAGCUCUGUACUGGGUAGCAAUGAUGAAGAUGAAGCGAUAGAUAAU